rnacentral:rRNA from 1 species
CUAUACAUGCAAGUCGAGCGCAGGAAGCUGACGGAACUCUUCGGAGGGAAGGCAGUGGAAUGAGCGGCGGACGGGUGAGUAACACGUAAGGAACCUGCCUCAAGGAUUGGGAUAACUCCGAGAAAUCGGAGCUAAUACCGGAUAGUUCAACGGACCGCAUGGUCCGCUGAUGAAAGGCGCUCCGGCGUCACCUUGAGAUGGCCUUGCGGUGCAUUAGCUAGUUGGUGGGGUAACGGCCCACCAAGGCGACGAUGCAUAGCCGACCUGAGAGGGUGAUCGGCCACACUGGGACUGAGACACGGCCCAGACUCCUACGGGAGGCAGCAGUAGGGAAUCUUCCACAAUGGACGAAAGUCUGAUGGAGCAACGCCGCGUGAGUGAUGAAGGUUUUCGGAUCGUAAAACUCUGUUGUAAGGGAAGAACACGUACGAGAGGAAAUGCUCGUACCUUGACGGUACCUUACGAGAAAGCCACGGCUAACUACGUGCCAGCAGCCGCGGUAAUACGUAGGUGGCAAGCGUUGU